rnacentral:lncRNA from 1 species
AUGGUAGAAUAUCUAUAUCAGUAUAUAUUCUUGAGUUAUAUUUGUUCGAUAUGUUAGAAGGAUUCCAAGCAAUCGACCAAUGAAAGUUGAAUAUGCUAUAGAUACGUAGGAUGCAUUCUGGCUUUAAUGAUAGUUACAGAACUGGAUGUCAUACUAUUGAAUGUUAUGACAUUGUACUGUAAAGAUAAUAGUUUAUAGCCCUCGCCAAAGGGUCAAUGUCUCACCAAAAGUCUAUGCACAUAGAGCAGGGGUAUAUGCGAUUGCCUCAAGUGGAAAUACAUAGAGGCACAGAGAGUAGACUCCACAUGGAAUAUGGUAGGCCCAAGUCACUUAGCUAGC